rnacentral:lncRNA from 1 species
UCAACCUCACAGAUUUGCCUGCUUCUUCUGCCUCCCAAGUGCUAGGAUUAAAGGCUGUGCCACCACAACCUGGCUACCUGAUUUCUUUUUGCAUUACGUUACAUAUCCAUAAUCUGUAACUCUUCUUUCAAAAAUAUCUUAUAGUACAAUUCCAUAUUUUACUUUUAAAAUGAGAAUCUCUGUAGUUAUUUCUGCCUCUCUUAUAAGAAUUAAUUUAUGUCAUGGAAUUAAUAUCUUUCUGGUUAAUGGAAGAAUAACAGAUGAAUCAAAAUUUCCUAAACUUCGUAAAAAAAAUACACACGCAUACACCACACACACUUAUAUAUAUAAUAUAUAUUAAUUAAAAAUAAGUGAAUCCUGCCAGGAACGGUAGCACAACCCUUGAAUCCCAGUACUUGGAAAGCAGAGGCAGGUGGAUCUCUAUGAGUCAGCCUGGUCUACAUUAUAAAUUCCAGGCCAGUUAAGGCAGCAUAUUGAGGCUGUCUCAAAAGAAACAACAAACAAACAAAAAUAGCGGAUCCCAAACAAGAGAAGCGUGAAGAAAUGGGUAACCCAGUGCCCAGCAUGAGGUGUCUCGAAUGCAGGGGAGUGGUGGAUGCAUGGUGACUGGGGAGAAGCCACAGUCAGUGCUGGAGAAUGCUCCUGUCAGCCAGUGCGCUCUGCUCCCUGAAGAGACCCUUCAGCAAUGAGGACCUUCUCACUGGAAGGGGAUGGCCAAAUCCAGUUCAGGAGGGAAACAAUAGAAGAAGCAAAGUUAGAGACACUAGAAACCCAAAAGAACAAGGAGGAAAUGCAGGUGAACAGUGAGCAGCCUGUUCAGUUUCUAAAUUAUGUGAGAGUUUGUAGAGUGACUGCAGUGGUUGUUACACAUGACAAAGUAUUUGAGACAACUACAUUUUAUAAAGAGGGAGAGGCCAGACUGAAGUAAAACCUAUCAAAAGAGUCCAGUUUUGCAGUACAUUGAUGUGACUCAUAUGUGUGUAAUGUAAGCCUAGAGCUGCCUCUAAAAAGGUCUCUAGCUGAGUGAGUCUUAGGCUCAAGCACUCAGCUGCCUGGGAACCUGAGAACCACCUAAGCCCAGGCUUUCAAGUCAGACAUAGUGAUACUCCAUCUUCCCUCCUCCACCAACACUGUAUAGAGAGGGAGUCACAUUUUAUAAACCAACUUCCUAAUGUGACAAUUCAGAUGUUAUCUGAAUAGGCCAGUGGUGGCACAGUCAUAACUCCUGCACUUAGGCAGAGGCAGGAGGAUCGCUACAAACAUGAGACCACCUAGUCUACGUAGUUAAGUCCAAGCUAGAUAGGGCUACAAAGCAAGUCCUUGUGUCAAUAAAACAACCUAAUGUUGUUUCACAGGCUUAGCAAAUAAAAGAACUUUCUGUACAAGCAUGUCACCCUGAGUUCAGUCCUCAGAGCCCACCACGGAAGGCGAGAACUGAUUUAUGACAGUUGUCCUCUGACCGUCACCAAUGCACCUGUGCUCGACACCCCUCCCUAAUAAUAAUAACAGCUUUGUCUCUUUUAAAGAUAGAAAUGGGCUGGAGAGAUGGCUCACUGGAUUAAGAGCCCUGGCUGCUCUUCAAGAGGACACACUUAAAUUCCUAGCACUCUUAUGGCAGGUCACAACUGUCCGUAACUCCAGUUCUUGGGUGUCCCAUGCUCCCUUCUGGCCUUUGGAUACAAUGAUUGUAUUCACCUAUAUGUAGGCAGAGCAUCUAUGCACAUAAAAUUAG